rnacentral:misc_RNA from 1 species
GUGAAUCAUCGAAUCUUUGAACGCACCUUGCGCUCCUUGGUACUCCGAGGAGCAUGCCUGUUUGAGUGUCAUGAAAUUCUCAACCUUUCAAGCUUUUUUUAAGCUAGUCAGGCUUGGAUUCUGGAAGUUUGCUGGUUCUAGCAACUCAGCUCUUCUUAAAUGCAUUAGCAAGAUUAAUCACUAAAUCAUCUUUUUGAUAUGAUAAUUAUCUAUAUCAUUAAUGAACCGUGUUUUUCUUGCUUUUAAUUUGUGUCUCAAAAGAGACCAACUAUUGAAUCAUUUGACCUCAAAUCAGGUAGG